rnacentral:rRNA from 1 species
GACGAACGCUGGCGGCGUGCUUAACACAUGCAAGUCGAACGGAAAGGCCCUGCUUUUGUGGGGUGCUCGAGUGGCGAACGGGUGAGUAACACGUGAGUAACCUGCCCUUGACUUUGGGAUAACUUCAGGAAACUGGGGCUAAUACCGGAUAGGAGCUCCUGCUGCAUGGUGGGGGCUGGAAAGUUUCGGCGGUUGGGGAUGGACUCGCGGCUUAUCAGCUUGUUGGUGGGGUAGUGGCUUACCAAGGCUUUGACGGGUAGCCGGCCUGAGAGGGUGACCGGCCACAUUGGGACUGAGAUACGGCACAGACUCCUACGGGAGGCAGCAGUGGGGAAUAUUGCACAAUGGGCGGAAGCCUGAUGCAGCAACGCCGCGUGCGGGAUGACGGCCUUCGGGUUGUAAACCGCUUUCGCCUGUGACGAAGCGUGAGUGACGGUAAUGGAUAAAGAAGCACCGGCUAACUACGUG